AACGAACGCUGGCGGUAUGCCUAACACAUGCAAGUCGAACGACACCUCCGUGUCUGGUUGCGCAUAGGUGCGUCACGCGUGGGAACCUGCCCUUAUACUCGGAAUUCCUCUCCUUCGGGGGUGCUAAUGCCGGAUAACGUCUGCUAACCCCGCAUUUGUCGCACUUGGGUGGGCAGGCGUUGGUUUAGCUAGUUGGUAGGGUAAAAGCCGACCAAGGCGACGAUCCUUAGCUGGUCUGAGAGGAUGAGCAGCCACACUGGGACUGAGACACGGCCGAGACUCAUACGGGAGGCAGCAGUGGGGAAUAUUGGACAAUGGGCGAGAGUGUGAUCCAGCAAUGCCGCGUAAAUGAUGAAGGCCUUAGGGUUGUAAAGCUCUUUUACCCGGGAUGUUAAUGACAGUACCGGGAAGAUAAGCUCCGGCUAACUCCGUG
rnacentral:rRNA from 1 species